rnacentral:rRNA from 1 species
GGCAAACGGGUGCGGAACACGUACGCAACCUUCCUUUAAGUGAGGAAUAGCCCAGGGAAACUUGGAUUAAUACCUCGUAACACUAUGAGAUGGCAUCAUCUUAUAAUUAUAGCUACGGCGCUUAAAGAUGGGCGUGCGGCUGAUUAGGUAGUUGGCGGGGUAAUGGCCCACCAAGCCUACGAUCAGUAACUGGUGUGAGAGCACGACCAGUCGCACGGGCACUGAGACACGGGCCCGACUCCUACGGGAGGCAGCAGUAAGGAAUAUUGGUCAAUGGACGCAAGUCUGAACCAGCCAUGCCGCGUGGAGGAUGAAGGCCCUCUGGGUUGUAAACUUCUUUUAUCUGGGAAGAAACCCAUCUUUUCUAAGGUGGUUGACGGUACCAAAUGAAUAAGCACCGGCUAACUCCGUGCCAGCAGCCGCGGUAAUACGGAGGGUGCAAGCGUUAUCCGGAUUCACUGGGUUUAAAGGGUGCGUAGGUGGGCAGGUAAGUCAGUGGUGAAAUCUCUGGGCUUAACCCAGAAACUGCCGUUGAUACUAUCUGUCUUGAAUAUAGUGGAGGUGAGCGGAAUAUGUCAUGUAGCGGUGAAAUGC